rnacentral:rRNA from 2 species
GGGUUGUGAGGUUAAGCGACUAAGCGUACACGGUGGAUGCCCUGGCAGUCAGAGGCGAUGAAGGGCGUGCUAAUCUGCGAUAAGCGCCGGUAAGGUGAUAUGAACCGUUAUAACCGGCGAUACCCGAAUGGGGAAACCCAGUGUGACUCGUCACACUAUCAUUAACUGAAUCCAUAGGUUAAUGAGGCGAACCGGGGGAACUGAAACAUCUAAGUACCCCGAGGAAAAGAAAUCAACCGAGAUUCCCCCAGUAGCGGCGAGCGAACGGGGAGGAGCCCAGAGCCUGAAUCAGCAUGUGUGUUAGUGGAAGCGUCUGGAAAGGCGCGCGAUACAGGGUGACAGCCCCGUACACAAAAGCGCAUGUGCUGUGAGCUCGAUGAGUAGGGCGGGACACGUGGUAUCCUGUCUGAAUAUGGGGGGACCAUCCUCCAAGGCUAAAUACUCCUGACUGACCGAUAGUGAACCAGUACCGUGAGGGAAAGGCGAAAAGAACCCCGGCGAGGGGAGUGAAAAAGAACCUGAAACCGUGUACGUACAAGCAGUGGGAGCACCCUUUGGGUGUGACUGCGUACCUU